rnacentral:tRNA from 1 species
AUAUUAAUAAGAUAAUGUUCUGUUAACUUUCAAGGUUAAAAGUGCUCUAAUGUG